AGCCUGUCAGUCAGCUCAGUUGGAGAGAAUGUAGUGCUGAUAAUGCUAAGGUUGUGGGUUCGAGUCCAUCCAGGCCA